UCUUGGAGCCAGCACUAUUUAUUAUUUUUUUCAGGGCUUUGGAGCAGAGGCUGGAGCUGGAGCAUGGACCAGUAGGUUUUUGCCCAGAGCUGGAGCGGAGCCAGAGUGCAGCAAUUAAAACAUUUGAUUGCUCCAAAUCCCUGAUUUUUUUCCUGCUGCUCAACUGGAUCAAAUAUAUAAAUGACACAGGGAUAAAGGAUGAAAGAAAUAAAAUUGAUUACUAAAUUAACCACAUAAAGAGGACCCAGAACAUGACAAGGCACUUUUCCUGGUGACAGCUAGGGGAACACAGGUCCCUGUCCUCUGGGUUCCAGCCCAGAGACCUUGUAUUAAUCAGCUAAAAUCUGCUUCUUCAGAUUCAUCACUGGUUUCCUAAGCCACUUCCUACCUGCAUCCGCCUCUAGACCCCUUCUGCAGAGGAACUGCUCCCAGUGCUUUCUCCCUGAAGGUUCCAGCUCCUUUCACUGCUUCCUGCCAGUUUGUAGCUGAGGCAGAGUCUCCACAAGCUCCUUGGAAGCCUCCUUCUACCUGAUUUGCAGGCUCGUAUCCCAGCUGUUGAUGGUCACCCGGUUAGUCACAGCUGAGGAGGCUUUCCUGCCAAGAAACACUGGACACACUUACCCGAAGGACUUCUAAAUGGAUUGGCGGAGAUAAAGCCAUUCAAAACCUCCCACAAAGCAACUACUUCAAAGAGCUGAAACGAUCACUGUCGGAUAGGUAUCCACAUUUGACUAGGACGCUGUAUAUCAAAGUAGGGCACAACUGCACCCAAACAAGGAUAAUUAGUGCAGAGGCACAACCGCAUUACUAUUUACAGAUGGGCAAGGUCACUGGUUCAAUUGGUGAUGGUCCAAUUCUCCAGUACACGCACAUCCCUUACUGAAAGAGCAUCAGGCGCUAUAGUUUUGGAUUUCUUUUCUUCUGGUAUAUCAGUUUGUAUUUUUCUAAACUAAAU
rnacentral:lncRNA from 1 species